rnacentral:rRNA from 1 species
GAUGAACGCUAGCGGCAGGCCUAACACAUGCAAGUCGAGGGAGAAGCCCUUCGGGGCAGAAACCGGCGCACGGGUGCGUAACGCGUAUGCAACCUACCUUUCACAGGGGGAUAGCCCGAAGAAAUUUGGAUUAAUACCCCAUAAUAUUAUUGGAUGGCAUCAUUUGAUAAUUAAAACUACGAUGGUGAAAGAUGGGCAUGCGUCCUAUUAGCUAGUUGGAGUGGUAACGGCACCCCAAGGCUACGAUAGGUAGGGGUCCUGAGAGGGAGAUCCCCCACACUGGUACUGAGACAGGGACCAGACUCCUACGGGAGGCAGCAGUGAGGAAUAUUGGUCAAUGGUCGGAAGACUGAACCAGCCAUGCCGCGUGCAGGAAGAAUGCCUUAUGGGUUGUAAACUGCUUUUAUAUGGGAAGAAUAAGGCGUACGUGUACGUUGAUGACGGUACCAUAUGAAUAAGCAUCGGCA